rnacentral:rRNA from 1 species
CUACGGGUGGCUGCAGUGGGGAAUAUUGCACAAUGGGCGCAAGCCUGAUGCAGCCAUGCCGCGUGUGUGAAGAAGGCCUUCGGGUUGUAAAGCACUUUCAGCGGGGAGGAAGGCGGUGAGGUUAAUAACCUCAUCGAUUGACGUUACCCGCAGAAGAAGCACCGGCUAACUCCGUGCCAGCAGCCGCGGUAAUACGGAGGGUGCAAGCGUUAAUCGGAAUUACUGGGCGUAAAGCGCACGCAGGCGGUCUGUCAAGUCGGAUGUGAAAUCCCCGGGCUCAACCUGGGAACUGCAUUCGAAACUGGCAGGCUAGAGUCUUGUAGAGGGUGGUAGAAUUCCAGGUGUAGCGGUGAAAUGCGUAGAGAUCUGGAGGAAUACCGGUGGCGAAGGCGGCCCCCUGGACAAAGACUGACGCUCAGGUGCGAAAGCGUGGGGAGCAAACAGGAUUAGAUACCCCGGUAGUC